UUAAGCGACUAAGCGUACACGGUGGAUGCCCUGGCAGUCAGAGGCGAUGAAGGACGUGCUAAUCUGCGAUAAGCGUCGGUAAGGUGAUAUGAACCGUUAUAACCGGCGAUUUCCGAAUGGGGAAACCCAGUGUGAUUCGUCACACUAUCAUUAACUGAAUCCAUAGGUUAAUGAGGCGAACCGGGGGAACUGAAACAUCUAAGUACCCCGAGGAAAAGAAAUCAACCGAGAUUCCCCCAGUAGCGGCGAGCGAACGGGGAGCAGCCCAGAGCCUGAAUCAGUGUGUGUGUUAGUGGAAGCGUCUGGAAAGGCGUGCGAUACAGGGUGACAGCCCCGUACACAAAAAUGCACAUAUUGUGAGCUCGAUGAGUAGGGCGGGACACGUGGUAUCCUGUCUGAAUAUGGGGGGACCAUCCUCCAAGGCUAAAUACUCCUGACUGACCGAUAGUGAACCAGUACCGUGAGGGAAAGGCGAAAAGAACCCCGGCGAGGGGAGUGAAAAAGAACCUGAAACCGUGUACGUACAAGCAGUGGGAGCACGCUUAGGCGUGUGACUGCGUACCUUUUGUAUAAUGGGUCAGCGACUUAUAUUCUGUAGCAAGGUUAACCGAAUAGGGGAGCCGAAGGGAAACCGAGUCUUAACUGGGCGUUAAGUUGCAGGGUAUAGACCCGAAACCCGGUGAUCUAGCCAUGGGCAGGUUGAAGGUUGGGUAACACUAACUGGAGGACCGAACCGACUAAUGUUGAAAAAUUAGCGGAUGACUUGUGGCUGGGGGUGAAAGGCCAAUCAAACCGGGAGAUAGCUGGUUCUCCCCGAAAGCUAUUUAGGUAGCGCCUCGUGAAUUCAUCUCCGGGGGUAGAGCACUGUUUCGGCAAGGGGGUCAUCCCGACUUACCAACCCGAUGCAAACUGCGAAUACCGGAGAAUGUUAUCACGGGAGACACACGGCGGGUGCUAACGUCCGUCGUGAAGAGGGAAACAACCCAGACCGCCAGCUAAGGUCCCAAAGUCAUGGUUAAGUGGGAAACGAUGUGGGAAGGCCCAGACAGCCAGGAUGUUGGCUUAGAAGCAGCCAUCAUUUAAAGAAAGCGUAAUAGCUCACUGGUCGAGUCGGCCUGCGCGGAAGAUGUAACGGGGCUAAACCAUGCACCGAAGCUGCGGCAGCGACACUAUGUGUUGUUGGGUAGGGGAGCGUUCUGUAAGCCUGUGAAGGUGUACUGUGAGGUAUGCUGGAGGUAUCAGAAGUGCGAAUGCUGACAUAAGUAACGAUAAAGCGGGUGAAAAGCCCGCUCGCCGGAAGACCAAGGGUUCCUGUCCAACGUUAAUCGGGGCAGGGUGAGUCGACCCCUAAGGCGAGGCCGAAAGGCGUAGUCGAUGGGAAACAGGUUAAUAUUCCUGUACUUGGUGUUACUGCGAAGGGGGGACGGAGAAGGCUAUGUUGGCCGGGCGACGGUUGUCCCGGUUUAAGCAUGUAGGCUGGUUUUCCAGGCAAAUCCGGAAAAUCAAGGCUGAGGCGUGAUGACGAGGCACUACGGUGCUGAAGCAACAAAUGCCCUGCUUCCAGGAAAAGCCUCUAAGCAUCAGGUAACAUCAAAUCGUACCCCAAACCGACACAGGUGGUCAGGUAGAGAAUACCAAGGCGCUUGAGAGAACUCGGGUGAAGGAACUAGGCAAAAUGGUGCCGUAACUUCGGGAGAAGGCACGCUGAUAUGUAGGUGAAGCGACUUGCUCGUGGAGCUGAAAUCAGUCGAAGAUACCAGCUGGCUGCAACUGUUUAUUAAAAACACAGCACUGUGCAAACACGAAAGUGGACGUAUACGGUGUGACGCCUGCCCGGUGCCGGAAGGUUAAUUGAUGGGGUCAGCGCAAGCGAAGCUCUUGAUCGAAGCCCCGGUAAACGGCGGCCGUAACUAUAACGGUCCUAAGGUAGCGAAAUUCCUUGUCGGGUAAGUUCCGACCUGCACGAAUGGCGUAAUGAUGGCCAGGCUGUCUCCACCCGAGACUCAGUGAAAUUGAACUCGCUGUGAAGAUGCAGUGUACCCGCGGCAAGACGGAAAGACCCCGUGAACCUUUACUAUAGCUUGACACUGAACAUUGAGCCUUGAUGUGUAGGAUAGGUGGGAGGCUUUGAAGUGUGGACGCCAGUCUGCAUGGAGCCGACCUUGAAAUACCACCCUUUAAUGUUUGAUGUUCUAACGUGGACCCGUGAUCCGGGUUGCGGACAGUGUCUGGUGGGUAGUUUGACUGGGGCGGUCUCCUCCUAAAGAGUAACGGAGGAGCACGAAGGUUGGCUAAUCCUGGUCGGACAUCAGGAGGUUAGUGCAAUGGCAUAAGCCAGCUUGACUGCGAGCGUGACGGCGCGAGCAGGUGCGAAAGCAGGUCAUAGUGAUCCGGUGGUUCUGAAUGGAAGGGCCAUCGCUCAACGGAUAAAAGGUACUCCGGGGAUAACAGGCUGAUACCGCCCAAGAGUUCAUAUCGACGGCGGUGUUUGGCACCUCGAUGUCGGCUCAUCACAUCCUGGGGCUGAAGUAGGUCCCAAGGGUAUGGCUGUUCGCCAUUUAAAGUGGUACGCGAGCUGGGUUUAGAACGUCGUGAGACAGUUCGGUCCCUAUCUGCCGUGGGCGCUGGAGAACUGAGGGGGGCUGCUCCUAGUACGAGAGGACCGGAGUGGACGCAUCACUGGUGUUCGGGUUGUCAUGCCAAUGGCACUGCCCGGUAGCUAAAUGCGGAAGAGAUAAGUGCUGAAAGCAUCUAAGCACGAAACUUGCCCCGAGAUGAGUUCUCCCUGACCCUUUAAGGGUCCUGAAGGAACGUUGAAGACGACGACGUUGAUAGGCCGGGUGUGUAAGCGCAGCGAUGCGUUGAGCUAACCGGUACUAAUGAACCGUGAGGCUUAACCUU
rnacentral:rRNA from 1 species